AGGGGAGUAGCUCAAGUGGUAGAGCACUGGUCUCCAAAACCAGGGGCUGCGGGUUCGAGUCCUGUCUCCCCUGCCA
rnacentral:tRNA from 1 species